rnacentral:rRNA from 1 species
UACGUAGGGGGCAAGCGUUGUCCGGAAUUAUUGGGCGUAAAGAGCGUGUAGGCGGUCCGGUAAGUCGGCUGUGAAAGUCCAGGGCUCAACCCUGGGAUGCCGGUCGAUACGGGCAAACUAGAAUUCGGUAGGGGAGACUGGAAUUCCUGGUGUAGCGGUGAAAUGCGCAGAUAUCAGGAGGAACACCGGUGGCGAAGGCGGGUCUCUGGGCCGAUAUUGACACUGAGGAGCGAAAGCGUGGGGAGCAAACAGG